GGAGUAUAGCUCAGUAGUAGAGCAUAUGCUUAGCAUGCACGACAUCCUGGGUUCAAUCUCCUGUACCUCCA
rnacentral:tRNA from 1 species